rnacentral:rRNA from 1 species
GCAGAAGCCACGGUAAUACGGAGGGUGCAAGCGUUAAUCGGAAUUACUGGGCGUAAAGCGCACGCAUGCGGUCUGACAAGUCAGAUGUGAAAUCCCCGGGCUUAACCUGGGAACUGCAUUUGAAACUGUCAGGCUGGAGUCUUGUAGAGGGGGGUAGAAUUCCAGGUGUAGCGGUGAAAUGCGUAGAGAUCUGGAGGAAUACCGGUGGCGAAGGCGGCCCCUUGGACAAAGACUGACGCUCAGGUGCGAAAGCGUGGGGAGCAAACAGGAUUAGAUACCCGUGUAGUCCCUGUCUCUUAUAC